GCCUAGAUAGCUCAGUUGGUAGAGCAGAGGACUGAAAAUCCUCGUGUCGCUGGUUCGAUUCCGGCUCUAGGCA
rnacentral:tRNA from 2 species